ACACGUCUACAUUAGAUACCCCUGUAGUCCCAGCCGUAAACUAUGCGCGUUAGGUGUAUCGGUGACCACGAGUUACCGAGGUGCCGAAGGGAAACCGUGAAACGUGCCGCCUGGGAAGUACGGUCGCAAGGCUGAAACUUAAAGGAAUUGGCGGGGAGCACCACAACGGGUGGAGCCUGCGGUUUAAUUGGACUCAACGCCGGGAAGCUCACCGGAUAAGACAGCGGAAUGAUUGCCGGGCUGAAGACUCUGCAUGACUAGCUG
rnacentral:rRNA from 1 species